rnacentral:rRNA from 1 species
UACGUAGGGGGCGAGCGUUGUCCGGAUUUAUUGGGCGUAAAGAGCUCGUAGGCGGUUCGGCGAGUCGACUGUGAAAUCUCCACGCUCAACGUGGAGGGGUCAGUCGAUACUGCCGUGACUCGAGUCCGGUAGGGGAGUGUGGAAUUCCCGGUGUAGCGGUGAAAUGCGCAGAGAUUGGGAAGAACACCAGUGGCGAAGGCGGCUAUCUGGACGGUUUCUGACGCUAAGACGCGAAAGCGUGGGGAGCAAACAGG